AAGUCGUAACAAGGUUUCCGUAGGUGAACCUGCGGAAGGAUCAUUAACACGCAUUUAAAGCAUCCAAUAUCAAAAAUCACAACCAAACGGUCAACUAUCUCCUCCCUAUUUCGCACACCGGAGACGGUACGAGUAGGCUAACAUGUAAAUAACAUAACAUUUGUUAUGAAACAAACACAAGAUAACCCCUUUUAAUUAUAUUAUUCAUUAUAAUAUAAUAUAAAACAACUCUUCGAUUUGCUUCUCUUGAGAAGAAAAACGAACUAAACUAAAAUAUACAUUCGAUAUAUUUUUAUUUUACGAAAUAAUAUAUAUUUAUAAGAACAACUCUUAGCAAUGGAUAUCUUGGUUCUC
rnacentral:misc_RNA from 1 species